rnacentral:rRNA from 1 species
CAAUAGCGUAUAUUUAAGUUGCUGCAGUUAAAAAGCUCGUAGUUGGAUUUCGGGUGGGAAUGGCCGGUCCGCCGUUUCGGUGUGCACUUGCUACGCCCACCUUGCUGCCGGGGACGUGCUCUUGAGUUCACGCUCGGGACACGGAGUCGGCGAGGUUACGUUGAGUAAAUUAGAGUGUUCAAAGCAGGCCUACGCUCUGAAUACAUUAGCAUGGAAUAACACGAUAGGACUCUGGCCUAUCUUGUUGGUCUGUAGGACCGGAGUAAUGAUUAAGAGGGACAGUCGGGGGCAUUCGUAUUUCAUUGUCAGAGGUGAACUUCUUGGAUUUAUGAAAGACGAACUACUGCGAAAGCAUUUGCCAAGGAUGUUUUCAUUAA